GAUGAACGCUGGCGGCGUGCCUAAUACAUGCCAGUCGAGCGAACAGAUGAGGAGCUUGCUCCUCUGACGUUAGCGGCGGACGGGUGAGUAACACGUGGAUAACCUACCUAUAAGACUGGGAUAACUUCGGGAAACCGGAGCUAAUACCGGAUAAUAUAUUGAACCGCAUGGUUCAAUAGUGAAAGACGGUUUUGCUGUCACUUAUAGAUGGAUCCGCGCCGCAUUAGCUAGUUGGUAAGGUAACGGCUUACCAAGGCAACGAUGCGUAGCCGACCUGAGAGGGUGAUCAGCCACACUGGAACUGAGACACGGUCCAGACUCCUACGGGAGGCAGCAGUAGGGAAUCUUCCGCAAUGGGCGAAAGCCUGACGGAGCAACGCCGCGUGAGUGAUGAAGGUCUUCGGAUCGUAAAACUCUGUUAUUAGGGAAGAACAAAUGUGUAAGUAACUAUGCACGUCUUGACGGUACCUAAUCAGAAAGCCACGGCUAACUACGUG
rnacentral:rRNA from 1 species